GCUGGGCGUGGUGACUCACACCUGUAAUCCCAGCACUUUGGGAGGCUGAGGUGGGUGGAUCACCUGAGGUCAGGAGUUCGAGACCAGCCUGGCCAACAUGGUGAAAUCCCAUCUCUA
ensembl:misc_RNA Metazoa_SRP Metazoan signal recognition particle RNA